rnacentral:rRNA from 1 species
AGCGAACGCUGGCGGCAGGCCUAACACAUGCAAGUCGAACGAACCUUUCGGGGUUAGUGGCGGACGGGUGAGUAACACGUGGGAACGUGCCUUUAGGUUCGGAAUAACUCAGGGAAACUUGUGCUAAUACCGAAUGUGCCCUUCGGGGGAAAGAUUAAUCGCCUUUAGAGCGGCCCGCGUCUGAUUAGCUAGUUGGUUGAGGUAAUGGCUCACCAAGGCGACGAUCAGUAGCUGGUCUGAGAGGAUGAUCAGCCACAUUGGGACUGAGACACGGCCCAAAAGACGAGGGGAGGAAGCAGGGGGAAAGCGCGCGAAGGGGGAGAAGGCCGGAAGCGGCCAUGGGGAGAGAAUGAUGAGUGUCGUAGGAUUAUAAAAUGCGUCCAGCGGGGAAGACAAUGACGCUACGAGGAGAAGAAGCCCCGGCUAGCUGCGGGCCAGCAGCGGCGGGAAGAGAGCGGAAGAGACACGUUUGAUC